rnacentral:rRNA from 1 species
CCUACGGGGUGCAGCAGUAGGGUAUCUUUCACAAUGGGCGAAAGCCUGAUGGAGCAACGCCGCGUGCAGGAUGCAGGCCUUCUGGUUGUAAACUGCUUUUAUAAGCGAGAAAUAUGAUGGUAACUUAUGAAUAAGGAUCUGCUAACUACGUGCCAGCAGCCGCGGUCAUACGUAGGAUCCGAGCAUUAUCCGGAGUGACUGGGUGUAAAGAGUUUCGUAGGUGGCAUAAUAAGUAGCUAGUGAAAUCUGGUGGCUCAACCAUUCAGACUAUUAGCUAAACUGUUAAGCUAGAGACCGUUAGGGGUAACUGGAAUGUCUAGUGUAGGAGGGAAAUCCGUAGAUAUUAGAAGGAACACCAAUAGCGGAGGAAGGUUACUGGGACGGUUCUGACACGAAGGCACGAAAGCGUAGGGAGCAAACGGGAUUAGAUACCCCAGUAGUC